AGAGUUUGAUCAUGGCUCAGGAUGAACGCUGGCGGCGUGCCUAACACAUGCAAGUCGAGCGAACCCUUCGGGGUGAGCGGCGGACGGGUGAGUAACGCGUGGGUAACCUGCCCUAUACACACGGAUAACGUACCGAAAGGUACGCUAAUACGAGAUAACAUAUUUUUAUCGCAUGGUAGAAAUAUCAAAGCUCCGGCGGUAUAGGAUGGACCCGCGUCUGAUUAGCUAGUUGGUAAGGUAAUGGCUUACCAAGGCGACGAUCAGUAGCCGACCUGAGAGGGUGAUCGGCCACAUUGGAACUGAGACACGGUCCAAACUCCUACGGGAGGCAGCAGUGGGGAAUAUUGCACAAUGGGCGAAAGCCUGAUGCAGCAACGCCGCGUGAGCGAUGAAGGCCUUCGGGUCGUAAAGCUCUGUCCUCAAGGAAGAUAAUGACGGUACUUGAGGAGGAAGCCCCGGCUAACUACGUGCCAGCAGCCGCGGUAAU
rnacentral:rRNA from 1 species